rnacentral:rRNA from 1 species
AAUGAACGCUGGCGGCAUGCCUAACACAUGCAAGUCGAACGAAGGCUUCGGCCUUAGUGGCGCACGGGUGCGUAACGCGUGGGAAUCUGCCCUUGGGUUCGGAAUAACAGUUAGAAAUGACUGCUAAUACCGGAUGAUGUCGUGAGACCAAAGAUUUAUCGCCCAAGGAUGAGCCCGCGUAGGAUUAGCUAGUUGGUGGGGUAAAGGCCCACCAAGGCGACGAUCCUUAGCUGGUCUGAGAGGAUGAUCAGCCACACUGGGACUGAGACACGGCCCAGACUCCUACGGGAGGCAGCAGUGGGGAAUAUUGGACAAUGGGGGAAACCCUGAACCAGCGACGCCGCGUGAGGGAAGAAGGUCUUUGGAUCGUAAACCUCUUUUUGCAGGGAAGAUGAUGACGGUACCUGUCGAAUAAGCCCCGGCUAACUACGUGCCAGCCGCCGCCGUAAUAC